rnacentral:lncRNA from 1 species
UUAUCUGACUACACAUCCUUCUUUGGCUAAUUACUUCACAUGCUUUUCACAGAACUUGUAUUCACUAAAGCACUUUGGGAAAUUAUGAUAAUAGUCAGCCAGUGGAAAGAUUUAGACAGAGAGAUAUGACCAGACUUGUGUUUUAGAAGAAUGGCUUUGGCAGCUGUAUGAGCAAAGGGCUUUCAGGAAGGAAGAACAAAUGCAGGGAGACAAGGUAAGAAGCUGCUGCAAUAGUCCAGAUGAAGAAACCAAGGCACAGACUCAUGUCCAGGACCCUAAAACCAGUGCAUGGUGGAGCCAGCAUUCAAACCCAGCACACGGGACGCCAGAGUCCAUGCUCCUAACCACUACAUUGUGAUGCCUUGAAACUCAUGGCAGAGAAGAGUUUGAGAGAAAGGUUUCAGAAAGACAAAAGUAGAAAUCCUGAAAGACUCUGAGCAUAAAGUUAAUGCUGCAGCAAUAGAUUUAGAAAAAUGAUGCAUGAUGAUCUAAGUGGAAGGUGUGACAUACCCCCAAAGAAAUGCUGAAUUCCCCAGGUAGGGUGGGGAUCCAAACAAAGGGAGACUUGUGCCUCAUUUCCUUAGUGGAACCGAAGGAGCAACAAGCCUCCCCUUGCUCUCUCUCUAUACCUCCACCAGUCACAGGCAGAGAAAGUAAAGGUGGGGCCUGCUGAGCACGUCAGAGCAGAAUGGGCAUGGCAUAGCUCCGUCAAGUCUCCCAGAGCUCCAGAGCAGCACAAAAAGGCAUCCAAAUAUUUCCUGUGCUUCCCUGUCCUCUCACCUCAAGAGGGAUGCAAAAGACAAGGCUGGAGUGACCUCAAGCAGUCUAGCAGUCUUGAAAGUUGUAUGAACUGGAAACACAAGUCCAGAGGAGAACAAGGCCAUCUUGAGGAUACCAGCAAGGAUAGAUCACUAUGCCCGGAAGCCAAUAGGAGCCAUCACAAAUAAACAAGAAUUUCUGAGGACAAAGGUCCCCCUCUUGAUAGACAUCAAAGUAUGAUGACUUAAGGCCCCAGAACUUAGAGGCAACUCAGGGAGAAAAUGGUGGGGGAAAAAAAACUCCGGAACAGACUUAAUAAAUAAUUGACCAAAGGUAGCCUGAGUUGAAUAUGAUUGAAAUUAAGUUCAGUUACAGAAUAAUGUUAUAUUUGUUUUUUGCACAGAGGAUUUUGCAGCCUGAGACUUUUACCUGCUUGGCUAUAAAGAAAUAAAACUUGUUUACCUUUGCAAACAG